AGGAAAGGAACGCUGGCGGCGUGCCUAAUACAUGCAAGUCGAGCGAACAGACAAGGAGCUUGCUCCUUUGACGUUAGCGGCGGACGGGUGAGUAACACGUGGGUAACCUACCUAUAAGACUGGGAUAACUUCGGGAAACCGGAGCUAAUACCGGAUAAUAUUUCGAACCGCAGGGUUCGAUAGUGAAAGAUGGUUUUGCUAUCACUUAUAGAUGGACCCGCGCCGUAUUAGCUAGUUGGUAAGGUAACGGCUUACCAAGGCGACAAUACGUAGCCGACCUGAGAGGGUGAUCGGCCACACUGGAACUGAGACACGGUCCAAACUCCUACGGGAGGCAGCAGUAGGGAAUCUUCCGCAAUGGGCGAAAGCCUGACGGAGCAACGCCGCGUGAGUGAUGAAGGUCUUCGGAUCGUAAAACUCUGUUAUUAGGGAAGAACAUACGUGUAAGUAACUAUGCACGUCUUGACGGUACCUAAUCAAAAAGCCACGGCUAACUACGUGCCAGCAGCCGCGGUAAUACGUAGGUGGCAAGCGUUAUCCGGAAUUAUUGGGCGUAAAGCGCGCGUAGGCGGUUUUUUAAGUCUGAUGUGAAACCCCACGGCUCAACCGUGGAGGGUCAUUGGAAACUGGAAAACUUGAGUGCAAAAAAGGAAAGUGGAAUUCCAUGUGUAGCGGUGAAAUGCGCAAAGAUAUGGAGGAACACCAGUGGCGAAGGCGACUUUCUGGUCUGUAACUGACGCUGAUGUGCGAAAGCGUGGGGAUCAAACAGGAUUAGAUACCCUGGUAGUCCACGCCGUAAACGAUGAGUGCUAAGUGUUAGGGGGUUUCCGCCCCUUAGUGCUGCAGCUAACGCAUUAAGCACUCCGCCUGGGGAGUACGACCGCAAGGUUGAAACUCAAAGGAAUUGACGGAGACCCCCCACAGCGGUGUAGCAUGUGGUUUAAUUCGAAGCAACGCGAAGAACCUUACCAAAUCUUGACAUCCUUUGACAACUCUAGAGAUAGAGCCUUCCCCUUCGGGGGACAAAGUGACAGGUGGUGCAUGGUUGUCGUCAGCUCGUGUCGUGAGAUGUUGGGUUAAGUCCCGCAACGAGCGCAACCCUUAAGCUUAGUUGCCAUCAUUAAGUUGGGCACUCUAAGUUGACUGCCGGUGACAAACCGGAGGAAGGUGGGGAUGACGUCAAAUCAUCAUGCCCCUUAUGAUUUGGGCUACACACGUGCUACAAUGGACAAUACAAAGGGCAGCGAAACCGCGAGGUCAAGCAAAUCCCAUAAAGUUGUUCUCAGUUCGGAUUGUAGUCUGCAACUCGACUACAUGAAGCUGGAAUCGCUAGUAAUCGUAGAUCAGCAUGCUACGGUGAAUACGUUCCCGGGUCUUGUACACACCGCCCGUCACACCACGAGAGUUUGUAACACCCGAAGCCGGUGGAGUAACCAUUUGGAGCUAGCCGUCGAAGGUGGGACAAAUGAUUGGGGGGGG
rnacentral:rRNA from 1 species